rnacentral:snRNA from 1 species
GAGUGUUACAGCUCUUUUGGAAUUUGUCUAGCAGGUUUUCCAGCUUACCAGAAAGCCAAA